rnacentral:rRNA from 1 species
CAUUUAUUAGAACAAGACCAAUUGGCUUCGGCCAUCCAUUGGUGAAUCUGAAUAACUACGCGGAUCGCACGGUCUCGCACCGGCGACAUAUCCUUCAAGUGUCUGCCUUAUCAACUUUCGAUGGUAGUUUAUACGACUACCAUGGUUGUAACGGGUAAUGGAGAAUUAGGGUUCGACUCCGGAGAGGGAGCCUGAGAAACGGCUACCACAUCCAAGGAAGGCAGCAGGCGCGCAAAUUACCCACUCUCAGAACGAGGAGGUAGUGACGAAAAAUAACGAGACGGUUCUCUAUGAGGUCCGUCAUCGGAAUGGGUACAAUCUAAACCCUUUAACGAGGAUCUAUUGGAGGGCAAGUCUGGUGCCAGCAGCCGCGGUAAUUCCAGCUCCAAUAGCGUAUAUUAAAGUUGUUGCGGUUAAAAAGCUCGUAGUUGGAUCUGCGGCCUAGGAUGCCGGUCCCCCACUGGGUGUGAACUGGUUGUCCAGGCCUACCUCGCGGUCUUCUCCGUCRGUGCUCUUAAUUGCGUGCCGGCGGGAGUCCGCACAUUUACUUUGAAGAAACGGGAGCGAUCAAGGCAA